GCUGGAACGACCGCGGGCCCUGGAUGGCCUGCAGAACCAGGAAGUUAAGAUUCGGAGUUCACGGUGAAUUGUCUUAUUCACCUGGGAAUGAGUCUACGGGACUAAAACAAACCGCCUCGAGCUAGGCUCUAACCAGAGACCUCAAAACUAGAAACUGCAACAGAAAGCGAACCACUGGCCCGGACGCAUCCACGCGCUGGAUUCCGCUCCCUGGUCACUUGGUGUGAUGUGUGUGCAGAGGGUCAAGUAGUUGUGAACAGAGGUUAGGGCAUUCAGAUUGUGCCAGCUGAGAAAGUGAGAAAUGCUGAAGAAAGCAGCCCUUCUGGAGUUCCCUGGCGGCCUAGCGGUUAAGGAUUUCGCAUUGUCAUUGCUGUGGCUCGGGUUGGAUGCCUGGCUGGGGAACUUUCCCAUGCUCAGCAGGGCCAAAAGAAAAGGAAAAUAGACUUUCUCCAGCGCCUCUUCCUUCUCCCCACUCCCAUCGCUGUAUCUCCCACCUUACCCUCUGCUGGUUCCUGCACCCUCAGCCGGUAAACAAGACCAAGUCUCUCGCAACAAGAAUCACCUGAGACCCGGCAAUUCCACUCCCAAGUAUUAUUCAAGGGAAUUGGAAACAUAUCUGCGCAAAGACUUGUACACAGAUGUCAUUGCGUAUCCAUAAUGGCCAAAGAGUGGAAACAAUUGAAUGUCCAUCAUUUGAUGAAUGGAUAGAGCAGUUACGGUUUAGCCAUACUCUGGCGUUUCAUUGGGCGGUGAAAAAGAAUGAAAUAGUGAUCCAUGCUCUAAUAUGGGCAAACCUGACAAGCGGACAUGAAACCCGGUCAAGGCAAUGAGAUUUGAGAAGACAUUUCCAGGGCUUCUGACAAAAAGAUUCCUCUCUGCUAUAUAGCUUCUAUCAAUGAUGUAAGGUCUAGAAUUAAUGCAGCCACAUGUGACAACAAGGAUAGAGACUAAAUUACCAGACAGUGAAGGAAUCCUGAGAAAGGCAGAAUGGGAAACUGGAAAAGGAACAGAACCUCAGUUACAUUGUUGAGCAGUGAGCAGCUAGAUCAAGACACACCUGAAGCUCUUCCUCCAUACUUGCCAGUUAUAUGAGCCUCUUGGAUAAAUAAUAAUUGAAUUGAAUAAAUUCCCUUCAUUGUUGGAGCUUAGUUUUCUGUCUAUAACUCAAAUUGUCCUAACAAUACCACUUAGCAAUCUCUGUGGGCCUCCAUUUUCUCAUAAAUGAAAUAAAGGUAAAAAUUCUGCCAGCUCU
rnacentral:lncRNA from 1 species